rnacentral:ncRNA from 1 species
UGUUGAGCUUGGCUCUAACUUGUUAGUUCUGAGUUUAGUCGAUCAUGAAUAAUCAUUGCUCGCACUGUGGUUUUACCGAUUCCGUCAAAAUGCGUCGCAUGCACGCCACAUGGGUUUGCUUCGAGGUGCUUUUCAGGGUGGUGAUGAAUGUGGAAGACACAGUCAGGUGGGAAGCUAUGUAGGCUGGGGAGGCCCAUUUGUGAAGGAGGAACGCAGUUAUUCUAGGACAAGCUCAGAACAGAAGUCCUAUGUUGACCGAAGGGGGAGCUUGCUUGAUUUUGAUUUUCAGUGCGAAUGCGAACUGUGAACGCGUGGCCUUUUAAGCCCUCAAGCUUUGAGAUACGUUCAGCUAGAUGUAUUAGAAGAGUUGCCACA